AUGUUAUUUAUACUGCAAGCUGCAGUUUUUGAAUAUAAGACAGGGACUUGUUAUAGCGCGAUGCAGACUUUAGAUCAAUAUACAUGUGUUUGUGACGUUGAACGUUAGGUGUAUCUUGUAUAUAAAAGGCGAGAAAUAUUUUUGCAUGGCUUCUUGUUAGAGUUCAACAUUUCAUCGAUCUAAGAAUGAUAUUAAAAUCCAUUUCAUGAUUUGUACAACAUGUGAUUAAAACAUGUAAAACUG
rnacentral:misc_RNA from 1 species